AACAUACACUUCACAGGUGUGUGUGUGUUUAUGAACACAUAUACAAGCAGAUUUGUCAGAUUUGUUAAGGAUGUGAUUCAGCCUUUAAAAAACAACACUUACUUAUAUGUGCUAUAUCUCAUCUGCAUGUAUGCAAAUUUGAAAAGUAAAGAGUCACGUCUGUCCUUCCCACAAAAUUUAAAAAUUUGAAGACAUUUUAACAGUUCCCUAAUCAGCAGCCUGCUCUCUAUUGCAUCAAUGGUUAACUGCUCCUCAACUGCUGUAAUAAAAAUCUGUAGCCUCUCCCCAAACUGUCACAAGUGUUGUGAUCAACACACAAAGAGUUUGCUGGAUCUCUAAUUAGCUGGCACUAGUUUAAAUCAUGUCUUACCCCCACAGCCUGUUGGAACGUAGGACAUUCCUCUGGCUGCCCUGGGUGAUCCGAGACCCUGGCAACGGCCUCAGAGGCCUUGGCACAGAGUCAGAAACAUCUGUGCCUUUGAUUUUAGCCCAUGGAAAAAAUUACCAGCUUUGUGUGAAGAUGUACAAGCCACAAGAGUUUGAGUAGAAUAAUAGUUAAUUUUUCACAGGGUGAAAAAGUAGAAUUUUGGGAUUUUAGAAUGGGGGUUCAACAGGCAAGAUGGAGGAAUUUGGGCAUGUCCUGCCCCUUCUCCUUCUUCUUGUCCUCCAUCUUCUGCUGUGAUGGUGACAUUUCUUGAUUAUUUUAGAGUAGAGAUAGACAAUAUAACAUACGUAUUGCAAAAUUAUUAUAAAUAAAGUACAUGUAGUUUUUAGUAUAAAAUUAACACCACCCCAAGGGCAGUCAGUGUGCUGCAACCUGACCUGCUAGACAGAUCUCAGCUGGUCAGGGAAAGAAUGUUAUAGAUAACGAAAAAUAAACAUCCUUGAAAAGCAGAACCAAUGAAUCUCGACUUCUCUGGUUGCAGGGCUGGAAGAAAAAAGGCUUUCUACUACCUCGGGGUCAUCUCAACCUCAGAACCCUGACAACAGCCCAGCUCACAAAUAAAAAUAUAUAGCUUUUAAAUUAAAUAUACAGGCAAAAUACAUUAGUAAGAAAAUAUUUACAGCUCACAGGUAAAAAUAAAACUCCUUCCCUUUUCCCUUGCUGUUAUUUUAUUUGCUUUAAAGUGGAGACAGAACUAGAGUUGCCUAACCAUUUUUGAGGAGCUGAGCACUAUUUUAGCAUGUCCUGAUGGCUGCAUUGUCAUUGCGAUUGCACAAAGGUUUAAGAGCAGGAGUGAGGCCCCCUACUUACCACCUGGAUGACAUUGUUUACACAGUUAAGAUAAACAACAGGUUAUCUAAGACUGCAUAGCCCUCAUAGACUCAUAGAUUAAGGAAGGAAUAGUGUCAUGGUAUUUUUACUUUGUAAAAAGAAAAAAAAAAGAGCUCUGAUCCAUCAUUUGUUUGGGGGAAAUUUUAUAGUAAUUUUGGCCUUGUUAAAUCAAAUUGUGAAUCAUCUUCUGGGCUUGAAGUUAAAAAUAAAAAAGGCAGGUGUGACUCCAAACUCAGCAGGAAUUGGCUACCAAUACAGUCAGAAGGAGCUCAGAGCCAAGACAUCUGCUUUCACAUCAGUAAAAUCCUGUCUAAGAGGGAGGCAUGAGGCUUAUAAGUGCUGAAGUAAUUGGUAGCUGAAGGCAAUGAAUUUCUUACUCUUCCAGAAACGACACGCUCGUGUGAGAGGCAGAGCCUCUGGAUCCAGGCACCUGUUGAGUUCUGAACUCCACACAAAUUUACAGAAGCAAUGUGGUUUUCAGUUCUGUAGUUUUAAUUAUUCUUUCCUACUGGCAGCAGCACAAUGUAUAUUCCUGAACCCAGUAUUGUUCCAGGUGAAGAAACAAACCAGUAUGAUAAAAUGCCUGUGAUAUUAAUAUAAGGAUUCAUAAAUAACACAUUUUCAUAUUUCAGGUUUCAUAAAUUGACCCUGAAUUCACAAAACAUCCUACUUUUUGAAAUGUGAUUCUGGAAAAAUCUAGUUCAGUUAAUCCUUCCCACCCCAUCACCUCCCCAUCCCCAUUUCUACAAUGGCUAGGACUUAUCUGUGUCUGUUUUGUUAGAGCUCUGAUUUUAGCUGGGUUCUGACAGUCCUUCCUCUUAGCAGCCCACCUCUGAGGAGGUUACUCAUGGUCUCCUCCAGUUUCUUGGGCAUGGUCACAGAGCUUAGUCUGCUCACCUGAUACUGUUCAGUGUUCACUGCCUACAGCCAGUCAAUAAUUUGACUUUUACGUAGAAGUGAAGAAGGUUAAAACAAACAAGAUAAUUGUAUUUUCAGUAGGCUAAAGAGUUGCUUAAAGAAACUAGGUCUCAUAUUUUAGUUACCAGGGACAACAAUUUUAAGUCUUUGAGGUCAUUUCAGUCUCUUGUGUUUUUAAAAUAGGAUACAUUGGGUACAAUACAAUGUAUUACAUGUUAACUUCUAACAUAAGCCCUUGAAAACAUCUUUCUUAGUGCAAACCUGAUACAUGGACUGUUAACUUUGACAAAAUAUGCAAGUGUAUUUGGUAUGCUUUACAAAAUUAUGUCUGGUCUCUCAUUUAUUGCAUGAUGUACUUUUGACCUGCUAAGACCUGAUGGCUGCCCAAGGGAGGUGAUGUUGGAUUCACCGACAAGUUGAAAAGAGCUAUAUUUUUUCAACAAAUUAGUGAUUCAGAUAAUUAUUUAGCAAGAUUUACUUAUUUGCAGCAUCUGAGGGCUGAUCUUACAUACUUUUUUGUUGUUAUUUUGGUUCUAAAUGUCUCAUUUUCUUUUGAUUCCUUGCCUUGCCUUGCCUCUUAUAUUUGUUCAAAUCAGUGAAUACAAAUCCUCACAAUUAAAGUCUAUUUUAAAACAUUCAUCAUUUUUUUCAAAAUAUGUGUAGUGCUAGAUUAAAUUGUUUUUUUACCAAGAUAUGAUUAUAAUUAUAAUCAGUGAUAAACAAUAACAAAUGUGAACUACAGGGCUGAAAAAGGUCCAUCAGUGUAUUUUUUACCAGAAAUUUUAACACACAAAGCUUUUGCCUUUAUAUUUCAUCUGAGAUUUUGGAUUGUUACAAUUAGGAAAUGCAUAUUAAUUCAGCAGUACAGUUUACCUGUUCUGCCUGUUGCAGUCCUAUUCAUAUACACACAACUCGUGCUACCUUACUCUAUUCUGGAGAACAUAGUGAAUAUUAAUAAAUUUUAGUGAAUAACUUAAAUUCUGUUAGAAUUAUUUGUUGUUCUGGGAUUUUGAAACAUUUGUUUGGCAAAUAUCCAUGUUUUUUCUGUUACAGAUGAACAAACUGCAUUCAUGGUUCAGUGUGAUCCAUUCAUUGGUUCAUGGAGCCCAAAGUCCUUCAGGAAGUGUGACAAAUCCACAUAAUUUCCCUGAAUGCUAGUGCUACAGCUAGACCUUUAAUUGUUGACAUGCUGCUUUAUGGAGCCGCUCAGAAGCUAUCUACAGAUGUCUGAAGAUAUCAGGUAUCAGGAGUAACAGUCCAAAUGUAAGGCAUUCUCCAUUCCAUGUUUGUGCAAAAUAUAAGAAUAAUGCCUAUUUACCUGGUACUAAUUUAAUUUUAAUUUGAGAUAUUUUGUGAAAAUUAUAAAUUAACUUUUCCCUGGUCAAAAAGGCAUUUAUAUGCAAGUGUUUAUUGUUUUUAUUGCUUUAAAUAAAUAAAUAAAUAACAUGAAAACCCAAGUUCUAAAUCAAAACAUUAAAAGAGUAGUGAAGCAUUUGUUCUCUGAAAGAAAUCCUAGUAGAUUCGUGUCCUUGUUGUUCUGAAGUGCCAAAUAUUUUAUAUAGACUUAUAAGAAAAUAAAACCAAAUACUAGAAUUUUUGAAUACUGGAAAAGAAACAGCUUAAAAAUAGCACAUAUGGUCAGUUGAUGAAACUUUUGGUUCACCAUGCCUGAUUAUUCUGUUAUACAACUAAUUUUACAAAUUCUUCUGCAUGCAGUGAAAAGAACUACUGUUUCCUAAUUUUGCAUGUUGAUAUUAUUAUUUCCCUAUAUAAAAAGUCCAGGCUUUCUUUAAACAAUGUAGUGGGUUGGCAAGGCUCUGGUAGUGGGAAGAUACAGGAGUGGCUCCUGUGAGAACUUGCUAGACGUUUUCUGCAUGUCAGAUAGAUCCAAUGCCAGCCAGAUCCAAUAUGAACCCAUCCCUGUUCAAGGCCAAGCCCAUCACCAAAGGUUGUAGCACUUCUGGGGUAAUGUAUUUAAGACAGGGAAAAAAGUUAUUGCAUAGGAGCAAUUGCAGCCAGAGAGAAGAAUGAGAACAUAUGGGAGGAACAGCUCUGCAGACUCUAAAGUCAGUGCAGAAUGAGGAGCAGGAACUACUCCAGGUUCCAGAGCUGAGAUUCCCCUGCAUCCCAUGGUGCAGCCCAUGGUGAGGCAGUUGUGCCCCUGCAGCCCAUGGAGGGCCAUGGGGAUGCAGAGAUCCACCUGUGGCCUGUGGAGGAUCCCCAUGCCUGAGCAGAUGGAUGCCUGACAGAGGCUGUGACCCCAUGGAAAACCCUGGUGGAGCAGGCUUCUGGCAGGACCUGUGGAAAGAGGAGCACAUACUGGAGAAAGUUUGCUGGGCAGGAUUUGCUGCAGUGGACCUAUGCUUGAGCAGGUUGUGCCGGAAGGACUGCACUCAGUGGAAGGGACACAGACUGGAGCAGUUUGUGAAUAACUGCAGCCCAGAGAAAGGACUCAUAUUGAAGAAGUUCGUAGACUGUCUUCCAUAGAAGAAACAUCACACUGCAGGAAGUGAAGAGUGUGAGGAAUUCUUCCUCAGAGGAGAAAGGAGAGAUAAAGACAAUGUGCAAUGAACUGACCUCAAUCCUGAUUCCCUGAGAAGUCAGGCGUAAAGUUGAGCUUGCGAAGAAGGGACGGGUGGGGAGGAUGUGUUUUAAGAUUUGGUUUUAUUCCUCAUUACCUUGCUCUGAUAUGAUUGGUAAUAAAUUAGUUUCCCCAAGUCAAAUCUGGUUUUGCCCAUGACAGUAACAGCUGAGUGAUCUCUUCUUAUGCUUGUAUCAAACUGUGAGGCUCUUUUAAUUUUCUUCUCCCUUGUUCAGUUGAGGAAGGGUAAUGAUAAGAGUGACUUGGGUGGGCACAUGGCAUCCAGCCAGGGUCUACCCACCACAGACACUCAUUUAUGGGAUCUUGUGGUUGUGGCCUUGCAGUCAGUAGCAAAGUAGCAGGUUAAAUAUUGCUGCAUUUCCAUUAGUAGCAGCUGAUUACACCUUCUUAUCUCUUGCAUCUUGAGGCCUUUUAGGUGAUAAUGUUAACUUCUUGCUACAAAUGUCUCAUGAGAUGUUGUAGUAGGGAAUCAUGGGUUUAUUUUAAAUUCAUGCUCAUAUGCACAUUCUCAUAAUUAGUAGAGAAUUCUCAUAAUUAGUAGAGAAUGUGUUUGUCUAAAUAGUCUGUCUAACAUUCAAGGAUUAACAGGCAUGUACUGAGGUGGCCUGGCCAGGACUUCCUGUGAUGCCAUGGAGUGUAGUGAGCAUCCUGAGUCAUUACCAUGGCUCUCAGCUAUUUCCUAUGUUGGCAGCUAUAAUAGUUUUUGAUACCCUUUUUAUAUCCCUUAGGAGCUGACCUCAAGUAGAUUUUUUUUAUUCUGGUAAUAGUUUUAUUCUCUCUGAGCCCUCUCAACCUUUAUACAUCAUUUUGAUUAGCUUUCUUUUCUCUCUGAAUCUUUGUGUACCUUUUGUCUUUCUGUGUACCUUUGCCCAUCCUGUUCAGGGUGUGAGCUGUCCUUUAUUUUCUUCUCAGUUUUCUUCUCCUUAGUACACUGCAUGUACCAGCACAGAGAUCUUAAAUUUCUUAUCAAGGUGCCAUAAAUGCUGGGUUUUGUACAUCCCUCUUUUGCAGUUUCAGUAUCUAGACUUUCAAUAUCCUUCGAUUCUCCAGUAUCAUUUCUGUUGCAAUUCUGACUGGGGGGACAUGACAGCAUGAGGACCUGAGAUUCAUCAAGGCCAAGUGACAGGUCCUGCACUUUGGCUACAACAAUGCCAUGCAGCACUACAGCUUGGGACAGGAGUGACUGGAAAGAAGCCUGGUGGAAAAGGACCUGAGGGUGCUGGUUGAGAGCUGCUGAACACGAGCCAUCAUGUGCCCAGUGGCCAGGAAGACCAAUGGCAUCCUGGACUGUAUCAGCAACAGUGUGCUGGGAUUGUCCCUCUGUAUUUGGCACCGGUGACACCACAAAUCCUGUGUCCAGUUCCCGGCCCCUCACUGCAAAAAAGACAUUGAGGGGUUGGAGCAAGUCUAAAGAAGGGCAACAGAGCUGGUGAAUUGGCUAGAGGGAGACAGAAUAUUUCAUCACGAGGCUGAUAUGAGACCUCAGAAUGGGAGGACUGCUUGAUACACUGGAUGGCAGGGUUUCCUUUCACAGAAACCUGGACAUGCUAGAGACGGAGUCCAACAGAAAGUCAGUAAUUCAGGAAGACAAAAAGUCCUGCUAUCUGAGAUGGAAUAAACUCAUGGAACACUACAGCCUGCCAGCCAGGAAGAUGCACUGUAGAAAAGGAUUGCACAGCCCUGGUGGACAAAACACCUGCAGCAAUGAAAGCUAACUGCAUACUGUGUUAGUAGCAGUGGAGUUGGUACAGAGAAUUCCAGGGGCAAUAUCUUGUGCAAGGACCACCACAGAGGAGAGACUAGACUUUCCACCCUGUGAUGCUACCUUUGCAUACUCUCUCAAGGCCAACACAUAACUGGAAUCUAGAAACUCAGUCCUAUCUUGUACAUUGAUGGUGGUCUGGGAUCAGAGGACUGCAACUGCUUUCCUGACCUUUUCUCUUGAGAUCUGCUGAGAUGUAGGUGAGAAAUCAAGCUCUCAAGUGCUCCAAUACUUUCUUCUAUGCAGGAAGAGAUGCAGAAAAAACACAGUUUCUGCAUUUUUUAUGAAGGCACUCACGUAAUUUUCCAAUCCAAAUCCAUGCAUCCCUACUAAAAGAGGUCUGGAAGGGACUGUGGGAGACAAACUAAUGCAAGCUUCGUAAAAAGGAGAAUAAUUUGUACCUCAGUCAUUGUUGACAAAUGCUGACACUAUCUAGCCUGUCCUUGAAAACCUCAAAUAGCAGCUACUGCAGGUACUCCAAGGUCUUUUCUGUCUUCAUUAGGUAACAUCCCUGAUGAAUCUUUACUUUUAACUGCUCUCCUGUUCACAAGCUACUUGCCUCUUUAUCUCAUUGACAGAGUCCUACUCCCUUAAAGGCUGUUUUACAUUUAACUCUCCUAAUGAUUUAUGCUCUAAAAGAAUAUAGGGGAAAAAUAUAUUGUUUGAGCUUCCGGGAAAUACUAAGCUUACUUUUUAAACAUCCUAGUUUAAUUUAAGAUAUAUUUUUGCCCUUUCACUGAACUUUUUAAAUAAGAGAACAUAGUCUAUUGGAUUUCAUUUUAAAAUUAUUAAUUUAGUAUGCAUAUUUACACUGCAUUUUGCAUGUGGCAGGUAUUGCAUUAUGAUAAUUUCACCUUCCAUUGUACAUUAGUAGCAUUAUUUAUUAAAUUUUUGUUGGUUUAUUGUUCUGGUACUGUGAGUAUAUUUGGGGGUUUGAGCUAUGUGAGGGCUUGGUCGGAUUUAUUUCUCUUGAGCUUUGUACAAUUAGUAGACCAUGUUAGUGAUGUUUCAUGUGUAUGUAUUACUAUUGUAUUAGGCACUUAGAUAAAAAUACCUUCCAUGAUUUUAGACAGCUCUAUAGUCUUAUAUUUCACCUGAGUUUUGAAAACACCAAAUAUGCAAUGGUGAAAAAUAAAGACUUCAGAGAGCCCCCUAGAUAGGUAAUACACAAUAAAUAAAAGCCACAGCUGUAUUGUCACUUUUCAGAUUGGUGUUAAUAGCAAAAUAUUUUCUUCAUAGCUCCAUUCCAAAAUAUGGCCCAUAUGUCUAUGUGUAAAGCAUACAGUAAAGAAAAAAGUGGCAUGCUUUUAGCUGAAAGGAUGAUAGGUAUAAGCAUCUUAAGUGAAAAUAUCUCAAUUUGUUUUAAUUUAAAGUCAGGACCUGACCUGAAUAAUGUGCUGAUAAUUUAUACUGAUGAGGCUUGGAUGUUUUUAUUUAGUUGCAUUAUUUUCAGAAAUCACCAUCACUUUUGCAUGAUCUUCCUAACCUAAUCUGUAUUUCUGUCCCUUUUCCCCAAAUUCUGUAAGUAGAAUAAAUAAACUUGUUUUAAAAAAUGGAGGAGAGUUUUAAGAAAUUCCAGAAAUAUUUUAAAUUACAUUGUGAACACAAUGUGGCCCAUGUAUUUUUUGUCCCUGGAGAUCUCGGAGUUUCUAAGUUCUCAACAAAUCAAAUUGUGUGACAAGGUCAUAACUAGAUCUGCAUGAUCUACAUUCUAUCAAUGUGUUAAAAUUUUCCUAUCAUGAAUCAUAUGAAAUUACAGCCUUUGGAAUUUUUUCAGGAAAAUAAAAGUGUAAGGAGCUUGCCUCCUCUUUGAUGCAUAAACCACAGGUUCCUCCCUGCCCAUUCAGCAUUUGAUUCACAAUCUUGGCCUCAUAAGCCAUCUCCUGAGUGAACAUUUGAUGAGGAAGGCCUGGAGUGUAAAUGAAGAAGUGCAUAUUCACAUCUCUGCAAUGCCUGAUUUAGACCAGAACAGGGAUUUUCAGCCUUUGCUCUGUAGACCCCUGUGGAUUUCAGCCAAAAACCCCCAGCAAAUAAAAAGCCAACUUCCCAUAUGCUGCAGAAAUCUACAGACAUGUGACAUUUCUGAAAGGAUCCACAUCUCCUUUGGGAAAUUUAUGCAGGUAAACAAACUGAAAAUGACUGAAAAACUCUAGACUAGAAAUUUGGGUUAGUCACUCUGAAUGGUUACUUAGUUCUUAUGCUGUUUGGAAGCUCAUGUGUUUUGUUGGAUGAAAUGUUUUGCUUCCUCUGAGGGGUUAUGUAUUCACUGAAUGGGUGAGGCAAAAGAUGUCUUUGAAGUCUCUGUAAAAUAUAGGUAUGGAGCUAUUUAGACAAAGUUGAACAGCUUGAGCAGAUGCUUAUCUAGAGCUUAGAGGCUGUUGUAUUCUUUUUAUUUCUUUUGCUUUUUUUUUUGAAUCAAUGCUCUAAAAUAAUAAUUAAAAAAAAUCUUCUGCAAGACAAGAGAAUGAUGAAAAUUAAAUCACUUCCAAGAAAAUGGUGAGAUUAGGCUUUCUGUAUAUUUAUGAAUCCUGAAAAAAUGCUUGGAUGAAAUCAGCAUCACCAAUUCACUCCUGUUGUUCUCCCUCAUACUGCGAGUCUUUCCGAAUCAGCAGCAAAAAUAGGAAUGAUUGAAUCAGUGAAGCUGUGAACAUUACAAGAUGCACACUCCAACAAACAUAAAAUGCGUGAGUGCCUGGUGAGCAUUAGGAAAUCUGUCACUAUGAACAAUUGAAGAUGACAAGUUUAAAUAGACCGAGGAAUUCCAGUGUUAACUUACUUUCAAACAAAAUAUUUUCAAAAUUGUCAUGAUCACUUUUUUUUACCUGAAGAUUGUCUGCAUGAAAAUAAGUGAAUUUAAAUUCCUUUUACAUAAAUGAAAAAAAUAAUUCUGGGAAAACAUUAAAAAUAAACACAAGAGCAUUUGUGCACUGAUCAGUUUCCCUUUUUUUGCUAGAAAUUUCAAGAACACCUUUCCAUACUCUUAGUCUGGAUGACUAACCUAAUAUUACAGCCUCUCAUGGGGUACUGACAGUACCUUGGCUAAAAAGUCCUCAGUUUUCUUUUGUUUUCUUGAAAAUAAGAGAAUGCUCUAUGUUUGAAACCUCUACUGUUUUCACAAAUAACUUGUGAGAGUCUUAUGUAAGACUGAUUCUAUACUGAAAGGGUUUGAGCCCUGCAGAGACACCCCAUCAGGCAGCUUCGAGAGCACCUACUAUGCUGGCUUUCACAGCAAAGUGGCAAGCACAGGGAGCAACCAUUAAAAGCAUUACAAGCAGUUUGCCUCCAGAGUAUUUUGUUCUGUGAGUUGUUUUAGCUGGUUAAAUUCUACAGAAAGGAAGAUGGGAAAUGAUAAUGAGGGCUAAGGAGAAUGGGACUGUCUUGAGAUACUUAAUACCCCUCUCAGUAGGCUGAUAGAUUAUAUGAAAGGAGGGACAAAAAUUGCAUUUUUUGAAAGCAACUCUAAGCUUCAGGGAACCAGGGAAAUUGUUUUCUGCUGUAUUUGUAGGCAUAGUCUCAUCUGCAAGAUAUUUAAAUAUGAGUACCCCUUUAGCACAUAACUUCUGCUAAUUUAGCUAUCUAAAUAGUUUUGUUGAUUUUAUUCUUUAAACUUUAACCUAAAUGGUAAAAACAGAAUACCAAGGAAAUCUUUGUAGUGUCUGUGGAUGUAAUAAGGGUAAAGUGUCAGAAAGUAGGUUUCUGUCUUUUGUACAGUUAGUAUACUCUAGUAUUAACACUUUGUAAAUGACCUGUGCACUUUCAUAUUUCAACUUUCUUACUUAUACUGCAUGUUAGAUGGAAGUGCUAACUUUAAAAUUAGUCAUCCUAAUGUGCAAAGCACUGCAAAAAGAUGGAUGUUUUGAACAUAACAGGCUUUACAUUAAACUCCAGCACAGAUUAGAUGAAUUGUGGAAUUAUGUCUAAUACUCUUAAGGGGUUUUAGUGAUCAAACACACAGUAGAUCCAUGCUGACAUUAGGUCUAGCACAUCUAAAAAACAUAUAAUAGACAUCCAGCAUCCUACAGACCUGCAGUCCUACUGGUUUAUGUUUAAACAUUUACAGUGUAAAAAUGUUGACUGAAAAAGCCCAUUUUUUUAUAGUCAACAAUAACUCCAGUGGUGUUUCUGGGCAGUCCUGUCCCUGUGUAUUUCACAUACUGUAUGCUGUAUGAAUCUACUGCAAUACUGUGUAGCCCUCUUACACUGUAAGUAGACUGAUACUUGCAAAUUGUACCUAUGUGCUAAAAAUAUUUUUGUUUUCACCAUAGGAGAUUGACAUGAAGUCUGUUGUGAUAAUGUAUGAAAGUCUAUACAUUUGUAAUCUAUUUUUUGGAAGAUUUAAAUUAAUUUCUUUUAAGGACCACUGAUUUGCUAGCGUUCACUUACCACUGAGGAAUGCUUUCCCCCACCCAUAGUAUGGAUUUAAUCUCAGGAAUUUUAUUCUCCUAGACUAUUUCAGAAGAUAAGGAGAUGUAUCUAAAACCAUGGCAUCUAAGACAGAUAAACCUGUGCCUGAAAUCUCUUAUCUCUGUCCAGGACUAGACUAGUCAGCUGGAGUUAAGUGAGAUGAAUCUUGUCUACAGUAUGGAGGGCAGCUGCAGCAGAGCUUUAGAUCCCUCAAGAUGGGAAGUUUUCCUCAUGCUUGCAUAGGAAUCUGAGAACUUUGGUUGCUGUCAGAAGUCACUGUGAAUAGUUCAGUAUGGUUAAGUACAGUGACUAAUGAGAAAGCUGGAAAGUUUGAGAUGCAAGCAGUUCAAUUUUAAGUGAUGAACUAGGUGUGUGUUUUCACAGCAAAGAAUGAAAUUAAAUAACCAUUUGUACUAUAGGCUGCAUAAAAAAAUAGCACUGUCUGGUAUUGCUAUCAAUGAAUAUGUGCAUUUUAGACAUUUCUAAAGUUUUGUGGUUUUUUAUUUAAUUUUUAUUUUCACAUUCUACAGCCUUACUAUGUAAGGUGAAACUGAAAAAAUAGAUCUAUGUGGCAAAGCUUUGGUAGCUGUGGGUUGUGUGAGCAGCCUUUAUGAGGAGACAUAAGGAGCUGCCCUUACAUCAGAGAGAGACGCAGCUGGCUCCAAGACAGACCCACCACUAAGUAAAGCUGACCCUAUCCGAAACAGCAGGAGCACCUUUCUGGUAGCGUAUUUGAGAAAGAGAAAAAUGUAUCCAUCAGAAGCUGGAAUAGAGGAGCAAGAAUAUGUAAGAGAAAAAACUCUGUAGGCCCCAAGGUCAGUGCAGAAAGAGGGGGAGGAGGUAGUCCAGGCAUAGAACCAGAGAUUCUCCUACAGCCAGAAGAGAGACUGUAGUGAUGGGCUUUCCUUGCAUCCCAUGGAUAUCCACUGUGGAACAAACAGCCACCUGCUACCUGUAGACAGCCCACAUCAGCACAGGUGAACAGCCCUUAAAAGCAGUGUGAGCCAUGAAGGGCUAUGCUUGACCUCCUGAUGGGAAGCGCAGCCCAUGGAGAGGACACCACACAGGAGGAUGUUUGCUGUCAGCCCUGUGACCAAGGACAGCACUCCACAGCAGGACCCACGCCGGACCAGUCAGCCUGGGGGCUGACUAAUGUUGGAGAAGUUAAUGAAGGACUGUCUUCAGUGGGUAAGCCCUUAUGAGGGAGCAAGUGAAGAGUGUGAGGAGGAAGGAACAGCAUAAUGGAGUGAAUUAUGCUGCAACAGAUCCUUCUCCCCAUCCCUCUGCACCACUUGAGAUACAGGAGUUAAAAGAGUUGGGGGUGAAGUUGAGCUUGGGAAGAAAGGAAAGGUGGGGAGAAUAUGUGGUUUUUAAAUUUUUUUUUCUUAUUUCUUAUUAUUUUAUUCUGCUUGGUAAUAAAUUAAUUUUCCCAAGUCCAGUCUGUUUUCCCCAUGACAAUUGGUAAGUGGUCUCCCUUAUCUCCAUCUAUGUGUUAUUCAUUGUCCCUCUGUCCUGUUAAGGAGCAAGAGUGAUAGAGUAGCUUGGUGGGUGUCUGGCAACUGGCCAAGGUCAACCCACCACAAAAUAAUAAAGAUUUUUUUUUUUUUUCUGAACCUGAGACUAUUUUCUGAACCUGGAAAAUAGAUGUCAGGAAGGAGACAGAAGAGUAACUUGUGAGGGAUGACAACAAAUUCUCCAAAAUACUGAGGCUUCAUCCAUGCACUAGGUUAUGCAAUGUAAUUAGAUUCAUGGUUAAUCAUGGUUCAGUUACUAAUCUGAAUCUGUCCUGGUGAAACAAGAUUUAAACUUGCAUAAAAAUGUCUGUUCAUGAGAUAGGAUAGUUUAACUAAGAUGAAAAGAUAAGAGAGUCCAGUAGAACUUGAUGGCACAGAUGAAUUUCAGACUAAUGUAAAAGCAGCCCUUAAAUACUGGAAGAUAUGGAAGUCUUUUUUUUAAAUAUAAAUUUCAUAAUAAAUUGUUUAGUCAAAAUUACUGCACUUGUUUCUAUUUUUUUUUCAUUUUUAAGCUUCUCAUAUUGUAUUCCUUCUGUAUUCACCUGCGUGACUCCUGAAUCACUCAGUUUAUGUGAGCCAUGGUAGACAUGACUGUAGCAUUUGAAUAUUGAAAUUGAAACAUCAGAAUUAAACUUCCCCUUGCAGAAACACUUGUCAGUUACUGAAGUGAUCUGUUUCCCCUGUGAACUGAUGCAUAAGGGAUUUUAAAUAUGUGCCACUGAAGUGCAUUUUAAAGGCUGUUUUUUUAAAAAACCUUUUGUACAACCCUGAAAUGUCUUUAACUCUCUCUUAACACUGCUUUGUUGGGCACUUGCCAAAAUAAAUUUAUAAUGCAACAUGUAUUAUCUAGUUUACUAGUUGGAAUUUUGUCUAUGUCUGCAUCCUCAGUAUUGAUAAAACUGAGAAUUUUGUUGGAAAAAGGUUAAAUUCUAAAGACAAUUUCAUGGCUUUGAUCUUUAAGCACCAAUCCCAGUAACAUAGAGAAGAGCCACAAAGAGAAAUGAGUGUAUGCUCCAACAACAACUUCAUACUUUGAAACAAAAUGAGAAAAAGGAUUUUGAGGAAAUGAAGUAAAGUAGGUUGAUCCCCAGAAUAUACAAUGAAUGCAAUAUCUUACGUUACAGGUCACCUGAGCUUAUUUUUGCCUGUGCCAGGAAUUGCUCUCUUGCAGACCACACCGAUCUGCAUCACCCAAUAACAGGAAGCAUAUGAUUUCCCUUGGAGACAGGCAGGGGAGCUCUUCACACUGACAUAAUGGAAGUAGAUGCUUUAGGAAUACUUCAGAAAAACUGAUGAGAUGGAUUGUAUAAUUCCUCAGAAAAUGUUCAGAUCUUUUUUGAGUAGCUUUUCUAAUAU